rnacentral:rRNA from 1 species
GCCACACUGGGACUGAGACACGGCCCAGACUCCUACGGGAGGCAGCAGUGGGGAAUAUUGCACAAUGGGCGCAAGCCUGAUGCAGCAACGCCGCGUGAGGGAUGACGGCCUUCGGGUUGUAAACCUCUUUUAGCAGGGAAGAAGCGAAAGUGACGGUACCUGCAGAAAAAGCGCCGGCUAACUACGUGCCAGCAGCCGCGGUAAUACGUAGGGCGCAAGCGUUAUCCGGAAUUAUUGGGCGUAAAGAGCUCGUAGGCGGUUUGUCGCGUCUGCUGUGAAAUCCGGAGGCUCAACCUCCGGCCUGCAGUGGGUACGGGCAGACUAGAGUGCGGUAGGGGAGAUUGGAAUUCCUGGUGUAGCGGUGGAAUGCGCAGAUAUCAGGAGGAACACCGAUGGCGAAGGCAGAUCUCUGGGCCGUAACUGACGCUGAGGAGCGAAAGGGUGGGGAGCAAACAGGCUUAGAUACCCUGGUAGUCCACCCCGUAAACGUUGGGAACUAGUUGUGGGGUCCAUUCCACGGAUUCCGUGACGCAGCUAACGCAUUAAGUUCCCCGCCUGGGGAGUACGGCCGCAAGGCUAAAACUCAAAGGAAUUGACGGGGACCCGCACAAGCGGCGGAGCAUGCGGAUUAAUUCGAUGCAACGCGAAGAACCUUACCAAGGCUUGACAUAUACGAGAACGGGCCAGAAAUGGUCAACUC